ACCCGGGUGGUGAAAUUGGCAGACACGCUGGUUUUAGGAACCAGUGCUCCAAAAGAGCUUGGGAGUUCGAAUCUCCCCCCGGGUA
rfam:Candidatus Curtissbacteria bacterium RIFCSPHIGHO2_02_FTLL_40_16b rifcsphigho2_02_scaffold_9260, whole genome shotgun sequence.